CAAUAUUGUGACUGAGAUAGUGAAAGAGAUCCAACCCAACCAACUUCAUUUUAUUUCCAGCCCCCAAGCUGUCCUUGCUUAUCCCUUUUGCCAGUUUGCAUAGGAAGACAGAAGUCAAAAGACUGACUGGGUCAAAGGAGUCCUUAUGCUUUGUAAUGCACUCCAGCGAAGUGCAGGCUGAAGAUGGUGCCCACUAGAAAGAUAAGUGACAAAAAGGCAUCCCUUUAGUCUCCUUCCUUUGGUGUGACCCAGGGUGGAUAGGAAGACAGAAGAGGCAUCUCCCCUGCUGUUUCCCCUCCAUGGUUCCUGGGUCCUGGCCUCUUGUUGAAUGUGCCACUCAUGCUUGCAGGCAUGGCCCCCAGCCAUGGAACCAGAGACACUAAGCUAUUGGGGCUAUUCACACUCACCCAAGUGGCUCUAGUCCUGUGCCUGUGAUUUCCCUUUGACUUCCUAGACUUGUGUGACCUUCCUGGCCCCCCAAAAAAUGGAUCUCAAGAAAAACUAUGUAAUAGUUGGGAAAGGCUCCUUUAAUGGAGGGGUUGUACUAGAUUGAACUCUGUAUCCUCCUAUUAUGGCCCAUGCUGAAGUGUUUACCCUUAGAGAAUGGUUCCAGUUAACUUCCAAACUUAAAAUCCCUUUACUAAUUAAGUACUGCUCUAAUUAAAGGCAGAAUAGUUGCCUUAAAAGAACUUAGAAAACAAAUGGCCAUUUUCCUGCUGAAAGGACAGCAUCUAGACUAAAAUUUGGCUUUGGAAGAUAUUUUACUCCUAAUUGUUGAAGAUAGACUUUUCUCAUUUACAGGAGCAGCAUGAGGCCUUGUUUCCAGUAGAAAUGUGCAAAAAGGAGAGAGAAAUUUGAAGCUGAGGUGUUUUGUUAAAGGACCCACAAUAUUUCUCAUGGAGAGGAUCCCUCUUCCACUAGGUGGUGCGGUUGACUUUAAGACGCCAUGAGCUCUCUAGACCCAGGCCAGAGUGACCUUGACAUGCAUGUGCGCUCCAUGAGCUCUCCUCAUAGAGAGGCUGAGAGAGAGAGGGCUGAGAGAGAGAGAUGCUCACUGUGGCCUGGGGAGCCCUCUGUUCCCAGAAAUUCACAAAGACACCUUCCCUUGAGCUAUAUAUCCAGUUACUACGACAUUCCCUGAACUUGCCAAACUAAGAUUCCCUGAACUGUAAAACUUCCCACACAUUUCAUGCACAAAGAGGAUAAGAGAUAUGAUGGUCAUGAACAGGAAGGGAGGAAAUUACUAUAGGAAAUUUGGAGAUCCUGUUGCCAAUAACCCAUCGAAACAGUCAGAGGCUGGGGUCAGUCCAGAAGCCUUUGGAUAACGCUGGGGGUAGUCCCAGCCAGAAAACCUCAGUUGACCCAGGACUUAUUCCAGCCUCAUGCAAUGGGUAAGUCCUCCAUGAAACGCCUAAAAUGGAGGCUGAGAGCCUUGGAAUGAAGAGACAAAGUUGAUGUCCACUCCUCUACUCACUGUUUCGAUGAAUGUUGUACCUUGGUAUCUUGGACGUGUCCUCAUUAUAAAGCGGCUAUGCUGUC
rnacentral:lncRNA from 1 species